UGAUAGUGAGAUUUUAGGCUGGAGCCUGAGU
rnacentral:piRNA from 1 species